CACGUGGGUAACCUACCUAUAAGACUGGGAUAACUUCGGGAAACCGGAGCUAAUACCGGAUAAUAUUUCGAACCGCAUGGUUCGAUAGUGAAAGAUGGUUUUGCUAUCACUUAUAGAUGGACCCGCGCCGUAUUAGCUAGUUGGUAAGGUAACGGCUUACCAAGGCGACGAUACGUAGCCGACCUGAGAGGGUGAUCGGCCACACUGGAACUGAGACACGGUCCAGACUCCUACGGGAGGCAGCAGUAGGGAAUCUUCCGCAAUGGGCGAAAGCCUGACGGAGCAACGCCGCGUGAGUGAUGAAGGUCUUCGGAUCGUAAAACUCUGUUAUUAGGGAAGAACAUACGUGUAAGUAACUAUGCACGUCUUGACGGUACCUAAUCAGAAAGCCACGGCUAACUACGUGCCAGCAGCCGCGGUAAUACGUAGGUGGCAAGCGUUAUCCGGGAAUUAUUGGGCGUAAAGCGCGCGUAGGCGGUUUUUUAAGUCUGAUGUGAAAGCCCACGGCUCAACCGUGGAGGGUCAUUGGAAACUGGAAAACUUGAGUGCAGAAGAGGAAAGUGGAAUUCCAUGUGUAGCGGUGAAAUGCGCAGAGAUAUGGAGGAACACCAGUGGCGAAGGCGACUUUCUGGUCUGUAACUGACGCUGAUGUGCGAAAGCGUGGGGAUCAAACAGGAUUAGAUACCCUGGUAGUCCACGCCGUAAACGAUGAGUGCUAAGUGUUAGGGGGUUUCCGCCCCUUAGUGCUGCAGCUAACGCAUUAAGCACUCCGCCUGGGGAGUACGACCGCAAGGUUGAAACUCAAAGGAAUUGACGGAGACCCGCACAAGCGGUGGAGCAUGUGGUUUAAUUCGAAGCAACGCGAAGAACCUUACCAAAUCUUGACAUCCUUUGACAACUCGUAGAGAUAGAGCCUUCCCCUUCGCGGGACAAAGUGGACAGAGUGGUGCAUGGUUGUCGUCAGCUCGUGUCGUGAGAUGUUGGGUUAAGUCCCGCAACGAGCGCAACCCUUAAGCUUAGUUGCCAUCAUUAAGUUGGGCACUCUAAGUUGACUGCC
rnacentral:rRNA from 1 species